AGAACGUUGUCAGAUCUUGGAACGUAUCUCUAUAACAUCCACUGCUUCUCUAUGAGGACAGAAGGUGUAUUGACGUGUUCGGAUGUGGUGGGUACCACCCUCGACCAUUGGUGUCGCGUUGAUGGGCUUCAACACCUUGAACGUAGAAUUGAUGUGAGCUGUGUAUUACCGUGCCGUAUGGUGGGUGUACAUACGACUCCAUCUUCCUUUUCACAAUCCUGCAGAGGGUGCGCUAACGCAUGAAAUGGGCAGCCUAAAGACUACGGUGGCAACACUAAAACUUAAAGGAAUUGACGGGGGCUUACACAAGCGGUGGAGCAUGUGGUUUAAUUCGAUAUAACGCGCAGAACCUUACCAAUCCUUGGAAUAUACAUGGGGGUGCAGGUCUCUGCACGCUCUGAUGGUAUACAGGAGCUGCAUGGCUGUCGUCAGUUCGUGGCGUGAGCUGUCAGGUUAAGUCCUGAAACGAACGCAACCCUUAUUGUAGGAGAGCGCGUGGGUGCGCUACUGCAAGACUGCCAGUGACAUACGGGAGGAAGGUAAGGAUGACGUCAAGUCCUCAUGGCCCUUAUGGGUUGGGCUACACAUGUGCUACACUGGCGACUACAAUGCGAAGCGAUAUGGCAACAUGGAGCUACACGUGAAAGGUCGUCGGGUUCGGAUUGCUCUCUGCAACUCGAGAGCAUGAAGGUGGAAUCGCUAGUAAUCGUAGAUCAGCACGCUACGGUGAACUUGUAUCUAAGCCUUGUACACACCGCCCGUCACAUAAUGGGAGCGGAACAUGUACAAAGCUUAGAAAUGCACUUCUGGAGAUCCUCGGAUCCAGGACAGUGUGCUUCUGGUCACUGCAGGUGCUGUAACUGAUAUGAAGUCGUAACAAGGUAACCGUAGGGGAACCUGUGGUUG
rnacentral:rRNA from 1 species